rnacentral:tRNA from 1 species
GGUUAAGUAGUUUAUAUCAAGAUCAGAGUCUUGUAAAUUCUGGGAACCAUUUUUAUGGUCUUAACCU